AUAACAAAUCAACACGACAUAUGAACCUAGUGAAAUUCACAAAGUACUUUAACAACUGUUACACAAGAUUCCUUUCGGUGGGGGAAAUAUUUGGCACGUAGUCUGGAUGUAGAUGGUCAUUUACGUGGAACCCUGAAAUAAUUGAAAUAAACGUACGUUUUUGUAUUUGGUACAAUUUACCUAGCUAAACAAAUCCUCAGAAGCAGCCAGAUCAUUGGAGUUGUUUGCUUAAUCUCCUAUAUUUAGCUACCAUUACGGAGAUGCUUGGUCCCAGUUUCCCUCUCAUCCUCUCGCCGAAUGGCCUGAAGCCAUAAGGCUCUUCUUUUUGGAUCUCUCUUGUGAUAAGGAAGGCGUGCGAACCGGAGACCUGGGUUUUUAGAACUAUUACUGGUGCAAUAUGUGACACAGCAUAUUUGGCAUAAUUUUUGCCGAAACGGUCAAGAAAAGUGAUCAAAGUUAGCGACGUGAUAAUUCGAUGCAAAGAAAAUGCUUUGUUUUACCCCAAAAAAGGGCACAGACCUGACGACGCAUUUUGUUUAUAUUUUUGAAGGCCUACUUUUCAAGGCUGCAGUUUGAGGGGCCCUAACGCAACUAUCAACCCUGAGAGAACCAGUUGAUACUGCAGGUCUUCAGGAUGCUCUUCAGCCCAGAAACAUCAGUUAAGUGAUACUAGAGAACCUGACAAGCACACCCUUGCCGCAGCGGUUGCUGAAAUCUACAAGAAACCAGCAUGAUGACUGUCUAGGUCAGGCCUGUGCAAAGACCGGGUCCGGGGGCCACUCAAAUCACAUGAAGAAUAUGCAAUAGUAAAGUUUUGAAAAAACGUAUUUGUUAUUCAAAUUAAAGCCCAAUGAAUACUUGCCUUUGUGUAAUAUUUUAACUCCCACCACUUGUGGGACAUUUAUUUUGAAGGCACGUAUAAAUAACAACUGCA